AUAUAAAAGACAGCAGAAGGAAGACCACACGAAAGACAACCUAAGAUAUAUCAGAAGUUUCAAAACAAAAGUGGACAGACACCUGGAAGAAAAGAUACUAGAACAUCAGCGGGGCAGACUAGCUAAGAACCAACCAAAGAAGAAGAGGAAGACGAAGGAAACAACUGUCUUCUCCGAGGAUGAUUUCUUAAAGUUUGAAGCAGAGUACAUAGGAGGAAAAAAAUAAAUUAAUGACAACCAAAA